UUUGAUAUUUUGAUGUUUCCUAUGUUUGCUUUCUUUAACCAGUUCCUGGAUGCAUUGUUGGUUUGCUUGUCCUUAGGUGUGAUCUCAAACCCUGCUUGAAUUAAUCAGUUUUCAAAUACAGCGUAUUGAUGAGUGAGCAAAAAAAGUUAGUGCAGCUCAAUGCUGGCAGCACCUGGAGAGCAAGCGCCAAUGAGUAUGCUGAAGGACAGAGACUGUGAUGAGCACUAUCAGUGUGCAACGUGAACUGAUGGCAGGUAUUCAUAUCUGGUCCUCGUAGUCUGACAUAAAUAUGGAAGCCAUAAGGUGCAGUGUGACUUCUGGCCGUGGAUUCUUCUGUUCUUGAUGAAUAUUUCAGUGUUGAUAGAAACAUUUGUUUUCAUAGCAUGUCCAAGAGCUGUUCUGCAGUGGAGAAGGUAAGUUCAUAGGUGUGGGCAGGGGAUGGACAACCAAGCCCUUCAUCUGUUCUCAUGUUUUUUUUUUCCUCUGACGCAGUCCUUACAGUUGUAUGGACAGAUGUUGGGCUGAUCAAACAGCUACUGAAACCAUGAAGAAUCGGGGCAUAUUUUUAUGAGUGGGGAUGAAAAGAGAGAUUUAAGAUUUUUAGCCUUUCCAUGAUGCUCUCAGAUGCAUGGUUGAAUUUUAAGGUGUUUCUGAAUGGAUCCAGAUUGUGAUGUGCUGUAAUUAUAUUUGUUGUCUUUUGAAACAGACUCAGUUGCAGUUCAUUGUCAUUCUCUGUUCAUUUUCCUGAUUGAGAAUUACUCUCUGCAGUGCUUGUUGCUGGAAAAUAUUUAGUUGCCAGUGUUUAUUUCUGUCUUACAAGUUCAGCUGAGUCCUCUUUGCUUUAUGGUGAGGGACUGCUGCUGGCUAUUAGCUGUGCUUUGAAGACAAAUAUCCCUAUUUUCAUUCAAGUUCAGAUUGUGUUUGCUCUGAAACCCAAUGGAAGUGUUAGCUGUAUCUCAGUUCCCUGAUUUGGGUUGAUAGGACUUGCCUGUGAAUCUUGUUCUGACAGAUGAUUACCUCCCUGGACUCCUUCCUUAGGUAACUUAGCAAAGAGUCCCAGGUAUGCUUUGCAAGGUAGAACCACGUGUAGACAACAGGGUUUUAUUGUUCUUCAGGGGGAAAAAAUAAGUAGCAUGGAAACAUGAAAUCUGAAUCACCCUGAAUUUAAAAAUAAAAAUCUAGGAGAUACAGCGACUUAAUGCUGUAAGUUGGAAGAAUGGUGGUGAAGUUCUUGAAUAUGAGAUUUGUUUUAAACUGACAAUAAAACUGUGUGCAAUCUGUGCUUUUGCAGUAAAUGUAAAGCGUGCCAUGGAUUAGCUAAUCUUCCAGAAGAACCCCAGCAUCUGCAUGCCAUGGCAAGUGAUCUGAGGAGCUCCAGGUGGGUGUGCUACAUGUAUAUCGAGUCGUCUCUCUAGACACUGUACUCUAUGAACUGCACGUGCAUUGUAGAAUUGUUUCCUUCCUGGUCCUUUUGUAAUGUCUGGUGUUUUGGUUUUGUUUUUUUUUCCAAAUAAAUAUCUUUUGAAGUCAUUACUUUGUGGGUGUUUUCCAAGGAUCUGAGCGUUCUCUUGUGUUGCUGGUCCUCGCUGAUGUAUUUAUUCUCUUUGGAUCACACGGGGUAAGGGAGCAGAGAAAGUCAUAAUUGCUUCAGUUGGGUGCAAAAUGCAAACCCUUUUUUCUGAAGACUUUGUUUUAAGUAUUUUCUUGGAGAGCCCCUAACAGAGGGAAAAUAAUUCUGAGCAAACCUGAAGAAACUUCUCAUGACACAAAAUCUAUUCUGAAUUUACAUUUGGAAAGCAGUGAUAAAUUAGAGUUCAGCAUCUUGUGAUUUUUACUCUCCUGUGAAGUGCCGAAUCCUGUGGGAACCUUCAGCAGUAUGAAGUUAAGGGUAGCCUUGCACUUGCAUGAAUAAUAAAGAUUUGGCUUAAUCUUGGCUCAUUAGAUCCCCCCACCCCGGAGGAAUGAGAAGAGCACACCCAGUGGUCUUUAACAUGCAGCACCUCGCUGUCUUUGAAGUCUUCCAUUUGAUUUUUUUUCAGGC
ensembl:lncRNA